rnacentral:rRNA from 1 species
GCGGUGUGUCGUAGCAUAGAGGGGUAGAGCACUGAAUGGGCUAGGGCUGAUUACCGCGGUACCAAACCCUAUCAAACUAUGAAUACUAUAUGUGGAAACACAGGAGUCAGGCGAUGGGUGAUAAAAUCCACCGUCGGGAGGGGAACAACCCAGACUAACAGCUAAGGGCCCUAAGUCACAUCUAAGUGGAAAACGAUGUGGAGUUACUGUGACAACCAGGCGGUUGGCUUAGAAGCAGCCAUCAUUUAAAGAAAGCGUAGCAGCACACUGGUCUAGUGACUAGGCGAGGAAAGUUUAACGGAGCUAAGAAGUGCACAGAGGCUGUAGAUUCGAAUUACUACGAGUGGUAGGAGAGGGUUCUAUGCAGCGUUGAAGAUGUCCUGGAAACGAGCAUUGGAGCUGAUCGAAGUGAGCAUGCAGGCAUUAGUAGCGAUAAUUGGGGUGAGAAUUCUCACCGCCGAUAACUCAAGUUUUCCUACGCGAUGCUUGUCAU